rnacentral:rRNA from 1 species
CCUACGGGACGCAGCAGUGAGGAAUAUUGGUCAAUGGGCGGAAGCCUGAACCAGCCAAGUCGCGUGUGGGAUUAAGGCCCUGCGGGUCGUAAACCUCUUUUGCCGGGGAGCAGAGGUCCGGACGUGUCCGGGCCGGGAGAGUACCCGGAGAAGAAGCAUCCGCUAACUCCGUGCCAGCAGCCGCGGUAAUACGGAGGAUGCGAGCGUUAGCCGGAUUUAUUGGGUUUAACGGGUGCGUAGGCGGGCAUUUAAGCCGGCGGUCAAAUGUCGGGGCUCAACCCCGGCCUGCCGUCGGAACUGGGUGCCUUGAGUGGGCGAGAAGUAUGCGGAAUGCGUGGUGUAGCGGUGAAAUGCAUAGAUAUCACGCAGAACCCCGAUUGCGAAGGCAGCAUACCGGCGCCCUACUGACGCUGAGGCACGAAAGUGCGGGUAUCGAACAGGAUUAGAUACCCCAGUAGUC